rnacentral:Y_RNA from 1 species
GGCUGGUCCAAUGGUAGUGGGUUAUCAGAACUUACUAACAUUAGUGUCACUAAAGUUGAUAUUUAACCCCCCACUACUAAAUUUGACUGGCUUUAA